GACGAACGCUGGCGGCGUGCUUAACACAUGCAAGUCGAACGGAAAGGCCCUGCUUUUGUGGGGUGCUCGAGUGGCGAACGGGUGAGUAACACGUGAGUAACCUGCCCUUGACUUUGGGAUAACUUCAGGAAACUGGGGCUAAUACCGGAUAGGAGCUCCUGCUGCAUGGUGGGGGUUGGAAAGUUUCGGCGGUUGGGGAUGGACUCGCGGCUUAUCAGCUUGUUGGUGGGGUAGUGGCUUACCAAGGCUUUGACGGGUAGCCGGCCUGUGCGGGUGACCGGCCACAUUGGGACUGAGAUACGGCCCAGACUCCUACGGGAGGCAGCAGGGGGGAAUAUUGCACAAUGGGCGGAAGCCUGAUGCAGCAACGCCGCGUGCGGGAUGACGGCCUUCGGGUUGUAAACCGCUUUCGCCUGUGACGAAGCGUGAGUGACGGUAAUGGGUAAAGAAGCACCGGCUAACUACGUG
rnacentral:rRNA from 1 species